AGGGGGCUGGUGGAACGGUACCACGGGAGGCUCAUAACCUCUAAAACCAGGUUCGACUCCUGGGCCCCCAA
rnacentral:tRNA from 1 species